AUUAAACGCUGGCGGCAUGCCUUACACAUGCAAGUCGAACGGCAGCACGGGGGCAACCCUGGUGGCGAGUGGCGGACGGGUGAGUAAAGCAUCGGAACGUAUCCUGGAGUGGGGGAUAACGUAGCGAAAGUUACGCUAAUACCGCAUAUUCUGUGAGCAGGAAAGCAGGGGAUCGCAAGACCUUGCGCUCUGGGAGCGGCCGAUGUCGGAUUAGCUAGUUGGUGGGUAAAGGCCUACCAAGGCGACGAUCCGUAGCGGGUCUGAGAGGAUGAUCCGCCACACUGGGACUGAGACACGGCCCAGACUCCUACGGGAGGCAGCAGUGGGGAAUUUUGGACAAUGGCGGAAGCCUGAUCCAGCCAUGCCGCGUGAGUGAAGAAGGCCUCGGUGUAAGACUCUUCGUCGGGGAGGAAAGUUAGGUACACGGGUUAAGU
rnacentral:rRNA from 1 species